UCUCAGCUCUCUGUGGACAUUCCCAU
rnacentral:piRNA from 1 species